rfam:Sorghum bicolor cultivar BTx623 chromosome 6, whole genome shotgun sequence.
CCGGUUCCAGAUGAGGAACUGGUGACCUUCAUUCUUGCUGGACUCGACUUCGACUACAACCCGCUGGUGUCCUCGGUCGUGGGGCGCACAAAUCCAAUUUCACUGAGUGAACUUUAUGCUCAGAUUCUUGCCUAUGACA